rnacentral:rRNA from 1 species
GAUGAACGCUGGCGGCGUGCCUAAUACAUGCAAGUCGAACGCAUUGAGAGAAGUGCUUGCACUUUUCAAUUUGAGUGGCGAACGGGUGAGUAACACGUGGGCAACCUACCUGAUAGCGGGGGAUAACGAGUGGAAACAUUCGCUAAUACCGCAUAACAGUAGAGAAGGCAUCUUCUUUAUUUAAAAGGCGCUUUCAAGCGUCACUAUCAGAUGGGCCCGCGGUGCAUUAGUUAGUUGGUGGGGUGAAGGCCUACCAAGACGAUGAUGCAUAGCCGAGUUGAGAGACUGAUCGGCCACAUUGGGACUGAGACACGGCCCAAACUCCUACGGGAGGCUGCAGUAGGGAAUCUUCCACAAUGGACGAAGGUCUGAUGGAGCAACGCCGCGUGUGUGAUGAAGGCUUUCGGGUCGUAAAGCACUGUUGUAUGGGAAGAAAUGCUAGGCUAGGAAAUGAGCUUAGUUUGACGGUACCAUACCAGAAAGGGACGGCUAAAUACGUGCCAGCAGCCGCCGUAA